CAUUUCUCAGAACUCUUUUUCAUGUUUCUCAGAUCGUAAGAAAUUGAAAACCUUCUAGAACAAGAAAGAAAAACUAGAAUCUGAGAAACAAGUGAUUGAAGCUGCCAAGAAGAGUUGGAACUUGAUAAGACUGAACUAAAUGCUGAAAUAACAAGAUUAAACUCCGAAAUCAAGGCUUUGACGACCAACACUCAAGAGAAAGGAAAACAAUUCGAGUCUCUUAACAAACAACUCGAAGCAGAGAAGAAGUCAGUCGAAAUUUUGAGGCAAAAUUUAGAGGACAUGAAAGCUCUUGAGGAAGAGAACAAUAAACUAAAAAAGAGGUAUGUAGUACUCCUGAGUUUUUACCAAAGAAACAUUCUAAUUGACUAAAUAAUUUACAAUGUGCACCAAAACUAGGAAAAAAUUUAAUUCCUCAACUAAAGUUACUGCGAGAUUACCAGACUGCAAAAUACUAAUUGUAAUCUAAACAUAAAAGCAUCAUUCUCAUCACCUGCUACCAUUUGAACAAUCAAAGUGGAUAUUUGCCUUCUAUUGAAUAAUGCCAAACCCUCCUUGGCAGGGUUGUUCAAUUUUCGCAGGUUUUUGAAUAAUUUUUGAUGCGUUGGCCACAUUUUCUCUAAAACUUGGGAGUGCAAAAUUUGCACCCCCAAGUUUUAGAAAAAAUAUGAACCUUGCUGGGCAGCUUUAAAAAGACACUUUUCCUCCUAUUGGCUUCCUAAAGAAAGCUUAUUCUGUUCUUCUUUUCUCUUCUGCUUUUCUCUUCUUCUUUUUGAAAGAAGCCUUUAUUUAAAAUUUACUCUCACUAUGAAUGGAUAUGUUAUGCGCUGCUUAUGAAGAUCAAGCGAAUCAAGGAAACUGCAUUCUAGAGAGGUGUUUUUCAUUUGGGUCUUAAUCUGGUCAGCCCCGGCUGUUCAUUAGAUAGACAUCUGUAUUUAUCAGAAUUUUUAAACUUUUACAGGAUAUUUUUUGUCACUAAUUACCUGUGUGUUACACUUAUUUGCUUUUCCACAGCUCAAAGAUAUCUCUCAAAAAUCCGCCGAGUAUGAAAUUAAAUUGAAGGAACUAGAAGAUAAACACAAAAAAUCUGAGAAACUAUUAAGUGCAAAGAAAGAAAAAGUAUCAAAAUUAGAGAAACAAGUAAGUCUAGUUUUCUACAAAGAACUUCUAUAGAGACUUGCAGUUAUUUCUCAAGAUCUCAAGUCUGUUUAGUGUAAGCCUCUCCAAAAGAAAAAAAAAAACACCAAAAUCUUAUCCCAAAGUCUGUUUGCUUGCUAAAAAUCAACUCAUUAUAAGAAAAGCUCUUGUUAUUUAAGCUCUCAAUAUUAAGGAAAUUCCGCUUUUGAGCGGGACUUUGUGACAAGAAAAGAGAAUGAAUCAAAUGAAAAUGCGAUAAAUUGUAAAUUUUAAUGUAUUGCGAUUCCUCAUAAGUUUUUCAUCUGUUCCUGUUAAAAAAUUUUAAGUUCAGAGGUGCUGUUCAAGUAUCCCAUUUUUUUAUUUAAUUCAACUCAGAACUAAAUUACAUAUUGUGUUUGCUAUUGUGGCCACUUGAUUGUUUCUUCUUUUUAAUCACUGAUUGAUAAUGCUUGUUUUUCAUUCCAGUUGGAAGAAGCCGUUAGUGCAAGAAAAUCCCUGGAAUCGUCUCAAACUAAAAUUUCUGCAGAUUUUCAGAUUGGAAAAGAUGAGCUGCUCAAAAAAGUAGAGCAACUGUCUGCGGAAAAAGAAGAUCUGAGUUUGGAAAUGCAGAGGAAACAAGGGAAUAUAAUAUCAUUGGUAAUCCAUUUUGUCCUCCAUCUCCGACGAAGAGCAAUUUAAAAACCUCAAAUCGUCUGGUCAAUUCUUUCUCCUCGCUAUGAUCCAUAUUGUACAAUGUUCAACCAAAUUCAUAUCGUACAAUGGGCCUGUUGCAAACUUUUGCUAGAGCAAAAGUAAGAGUUGUUUCCUAUAGAUAAUGCCUCAAAAAUCACGAUGAGCGCAUUGGCAAAGUAUGAAAUGCACU
rnacentral:lncRNA from 1 species